UACGAAGGGGGGCUAGCGUUGCUCGGAAUCACUGGGCGUAAAGGGUGCGUAGGCGGGUCUUUAAGUCAGGGGUGAAAUCCUGGAGCUCAACUCCAGAACUGCCUUUGAUACUGAAGAGCUUGAGUCGGGAGAGGUGAGUGGAACUGCGAGUGUAGAGGUGAAAUUCGUAGAUAUUCGCAAGAACACCAGUGGCGAAGGCGGCUCACUGGACCGGUACUGACGCUGAGGCGCGAAAGCCAGGGGAGCAAACGGG
rnacentral:rRNA from 1 species